CCUACGGGAGGCAGCAGUCGGGAAUCUUGCGCAAUGGAGGAAACUCUGACGCAGUGACGCCGCGUGCAGGAAGCAGGUUUUCGGAUUGUAAACUGCUUUAGACAGGGAAGAAAAAAGACAGUACCUGUAGAAUCAGCUCCGGCUAACUACGUGCCAGCAGCCGCGGUAAUACGUAGGGAGCAAGCGUUAUCCGGAUUUAUUGGGUGUAAAGGGUGCGUAGACGGAGAAGCAAGUUAGUUGUGAAAUCCCUCGGCUUAACUGAGGAACUGCAACUAAAACUACUUCCCUUGAGUACUGGAGAGGAAAGUGGAAUUCCUAGUGUAGCGGUGAAAUGCGUAGAUAUUAGGAGGAACACCGAUUGCGAAGGCAGCUCACUGGACUGCAACUGACACUGAGGCUCGAAAGUGUGGGUAUCAAACAGGAUUAGAUACCCGGGUAGUC
rnacentral:rRNA from 1 species